GGAACUGCUCUGAACCUAUAGCAGAGCUAUAGGGGAACAGAGAGGAUGCUAGCAGAAUGUGAAGCACCCAGAUGUCCAGUUGUGCCCUGAGAAGCACACCAGCAACAGACGGCGCUCAUCAGCUUGCUGUGGGAGUUAUCUCUAUCUACAAUUAGCUACAACCUCGCAACAUCACCCGGAAGUUACAACUCUUUAACCUCACAUCACAUGCACUCAUACACAGAAAGGCUGCGGAGCUAGUCACAAUGGUGGGGCCAAUUUAACAACCAGUCUGUCUUGACACUGGAGAGGUGGUCCGGUGGUUAAGAGUGCUGACUGCUCUUCCAGAGGACCCAGGUUCAGGUCUCAGCACCCACAUUGGUGACUCACAACUGCCUCUAACUUCAGUUGCAAGGGAUCCCUUCUAGCCUCCUUGGGCACCUGAAUAUGCUCCACAUCAGGGGAUUCAUGGGUGGUACUCUCACCUGGUUUAAAAAAAAAAUCAAUGACAACAAUCAAACACAUGUGAAGGUUGCAGGCCCUGAGGAGAAGCUCUAUUAUUGUUUUGCUAAAGGAUCAGGUUGUCAAACUGCCCUAGAAGUAUUUAUAUUUAUACCCAUAGAGCUGUGCUGCUCUUGGCCUUGACCAGAAAAGC